GUGGGGAAUCUUCCGCAAUGGACGAAAGUCUGACGGAGCAACGCCGCGUGAGUGAAGAAGGUUUUCGGAUCGUAAAGCUCUUUCGUUAGGGACGAACGUGCUCUUUGUGAAUAAUGAGGAGUAAUGACGGUACCUAAAUAAGAAGCCACGGCUAACUACGUGCCAGCAGCCGCGGUAAUACGUAGGUGGCAAGCGUUGUCCGGAAUUAUUGGGCGUAAAGCGCGCGCAGGCGGGAUAUCAAGUCUGUCUUAAAAGUGCGAGGCUCAACCUCGUGAGGGGAAAGAAACUGGUAUUCUUGAGUGUCGGAGAGGAAAGUGGAAUUCCAAGUGUAGCGGUGAAAUGCGUAGAGAUUUGGAAGAACACCAGUGGCGAAGGCGACUUUCUGGACGAUGUCUGACGCUGAGGCGCGAAAGCUAGGGGAGCGAACGGGAUUAGAUACCCCUGUAGUCC
rnacentral:rRNA from 1 species